UCCGUAGGCGGUGCGGCAAGUCGGAAGUGAAAUCUCAGGGCUUAACCCUGAGGCUGCUUCCGAAACUGCCGUGCUCGAGUGCGAGAGAGGCGAGUGGAAUUGCAGGUGUAGCGGUGAAAUGCGUAGAUAUCUGCAGGAACAUCCGAGGCGAAAGCGGCUCGCUGGAUCGCAACUGACGCUGAGGGACGAAAGCUAGGGGAGCAAACAGGAUUAGAUACCCUGGUAGUCCUAGCCCUAAACGAUCAGGACUGGGCGUGGGCCUCGUACGGGGCUCGUGCCGCAGCUAACGCGUUAAGUCCUGCGCCUGGGGAGUACGGUCGCAAGGCUGAAA
rnacentral:rRNA from 1 species